rnacentral:rRNA from 1 species
UGACGUACUUGUACUGAUUGAGAUUUUAACACGAAGUGAGUGGCGAACGGGUGAGUAACACGUGGGUAACCUGCCCAGAAGUAGGGGAUAACACCUGGAAACAGAUGCUAAUACCGUAUAACAGAGAAAACCGCAUGGUUUUCUUUUAAAAGAUGGCUCUGCUAUCACUUCUGGAUGGACCCGCGGCGUAUUAGCUAGUUGGUGAGGUAAAGGCUCACCAAGGCAGUGAUACGUAGCCGACCUGAGAGGGUAAUCGGCCACAUUGGGACUGAGACACGGCCCAGACUCCUACGGGAGGCAGCAGUAGGGAAUCUUCCACAAUGGACGCAAGUCUGAUGGAGCAACGCCGCGUGAGUGAAGAAGGGUUUCGGCUCGUAAAGCUCUGUUGUUAAAGAAGAACGUGGGUAAGAGUAACUGUUUACCCAGUGACGGUAUUUAACCAGAAAGCCACGGCUAACUACGUGCCAGCAGCCGCGGUAAUACGUAGGUGGCAAGCGUUAUCCGGAUUUAUUGGGCGUAAAGCGAGCGCAGGCGGUCUUUUAAGUCUAAUGUGAAAGCCUUCGGCUCAACCGAAGAAGUGCAUUGGAAACUGGGAGACUUGAGUGCAGAAGAGGACAGUGGAACUCCAUGUGUAGCGGUGAAAUGCGUAGAUAUAUGGAAGAACACCAGUGGCGAAGGCGGCUGUCUGGUCUGCAACUGACGCUGAGGCUCGAAAGCAUGGGUAGCGAACAGGAUUAGAUACCCUGGUAGUCCAUGCCGUAAACGAUGAUUACUACGUGUUGGAGGGUUUCCGCCCUUCAGUGCUGCUGCUAACGCAUUAAGUA